rnacentral:lncRNA from 1 species
ACCUAUUAUGUACGUACCCACAGAAAUGAAAAAUAACUUUCCCCAUUAUUUUUAAUGGAAAAUGACUGCAUUGUCCCACUGAAAUUUUUUCUUCCUUGGUGCAGAAUCUGGGAAAGGCCUCAAAUGAACAUCAUGGGAAACUGAUUUUAAGAACGCACCUCUAGUUGUGCACGUUAAUGGCUAAACACGGCUGAAAGUCACUGGACACCUUUGCAGCUUUGUCAUCUGGUCCUUGUCAGAGCUGAGUUAGGAAAAACUAACCUCAGAGCUGCCUCUGCAGGAGUCGGGAGCUCUCCAUUCCCUACACGCCCUGGUCUCAACCCUGGCUUCAGCUUCAAUCCCAGAAAAGAGGAUCAAAACCACAGGUUCCAAGAGCAAACACUGCGCCAUCGCCUCUGUUUUGGAGAAAAGGAAAACGUGAGGUUUCGGUCAAUUUUGUCUGAGGAAAUCAGAUGAAAAAGGGUGAACAGAGGACCAGGUGUCUGAGCGCA